rnacentral:rRNA from 1 species
AUGAACCGCCUCUCGCGACCACUUGUCUCUUUCAUGGCCUCUGCUCCGCCUCGCUGGUGGCCGCCCGCGCUUGCGCGACGACUUUCCCCACCCAGUGAGCGUCUCAAUCCAACUGUUCGUCGUGCUUCCAGUGAUAGAUUUCCUCUUGGAUUUAGGAACAUGGCCACCGGCAUCAGAAGCAGUGAAGUAGAAGGCCAUGAUUCUGCCAAACCAGACACGCGGCUGCUCACCACUUCUGCCCAUGAGCACUCUGCCAUCACCCAAGGCAUGAACAACAUGAGCAGAACUAAGGAGUUCAUUUCUUGUUAUGGCGAGAUUAUAGAUGGCAAACGUGAUACAUGGGGGAAAACUGUUGGCUGUGGGGAAGAAAUCGUGGUCAGCGAUGACGAAGAAUAUGAGAGCUGGGAUGCAUUGAUGGCUCGAUACCCCUUUGAAGGUGUACUCCCGUUGGAUGUUUUUCCAAAAAGCAGGCACCGUGAUGGUUCUAUAUACAAAUGCACACAUCCAUGGACAAGAAAAUGUCUCAUUACAGACCGCAGUGAGACUGUGUUCGAGGCAAUGAUGUUUACAGAGCCCUCAAAUUGCUUCAUCCUCAAUGGAACUUGCAUGCGGCAUGCACCUAGUCACAUGUUCCAAAUUUUAUCAAUAAAGCUGGCUAAACUUGACGUGGAUGGUGGACCAGUAGCGUUAUAUGGAUACAUAGCAGUGCGGGAUGAUCUGGAUCCAUUGCUUAAUUAUAUCAUCAAAUAUAGCAGGGAUGAUCCCAUCAUCGUGGAGCAGGGUUCCCUCUUCAACUUGGCUGGCCCCAAGCGAGGGAUUGAUUUUUAUGGUAAUAUUCUAAUCGAAUAUGACAUGAGGAUCAGGACUGCUAAAGAAGAAAAGGAUGAUCUACAGUUGAUCGAUGGUGCGUCAAUGAUAGGCGACAUGGGCUUACGGAAUUGUCAUGUGUUCACAAAUCGCAUCCAUGGCGAUUCUGGCGCAGUUGAUGUAACUUUUUCACGUCUUGAAAAUGCAGUUGAGGCGACCGUAGAAGUUUUCAUAUCAGAAGUGCAAAACAGUUUUAGUUUGUUUCUCGGCUGUUUGACCAGUGGGUUGAGUGAAGAAAUCCGACUCUUCGAUGGCGUCAUUGGUGAGACACAAAGCUUAAAAAGGUCUGUGGUUGCUGUAGUGACAGGUUCUUCGAUACACCUGAAGUUUAAGGUUGGCCUGGAGUCGUCCAGUUCCGCUGAACAUGAUUGUUCCUUCAUUGCUGGCAAUCACGGGUCUAAUGCUCGAAAGAUAGAGACUGAUUUUGCGUUAAUCUCAGUGAAGGUGACCUGGUCGCCUUUACCUAAGGGGCACUAG